AUUACCUUCUUGAGUUGUGGCUCAGACACUACAACAGAGCUCUGUCACCUCUUUCUAAAAGCUGGGAAAUGGUUAUUGUCAACGCCAGCCCCAUUUUGGAGGCACCUGGUUGCAGGGGACCACAGCUAGACCCGAGUCAUCCCUGGAGUCUCACACUUGAUCUUAGCCAAAAGGCCGAGAAGCGAUCAUCCCUGGAGUCUCUCUGAAUCUGCCGUGAUCCUGGGGGCUGCCCGAUUCGUGCAUUGUUCAUUGCUCAAUUAAACUCCUUUAAAUUUAAUUUGGCUGAAGUUUUUCUUUUAAUGAUACUAUGAUGUGUCAUUAUUAUUUCACUUUUCAAAUUAUUCAAAAUUAUUUUCAAUUUUAUGGUAUGGUACAUACCGUAAAAUUUCUGUACUCUUUUAAAGCUUACAUUUCAGUGGUUUUCAGUAUAUUCACAAGGUUGUGCAACCAUCACCACUAUCUGGUUCUAGAACAUUUUCUUCACCCCCAAAGAAGCUUCAUACCCAUUAGCGGUCACUUUCCAUUCCUUCUUCCCCACAGCCCCUGGCAAAUUCUGACGGUUUUAAUGGUUAAAUCUUUUCAAUUACAUCACAAGACACCAUGGAACUCAUUACUCUUUCUGGCACAUAGUAGGUACUUAGUAAAUUUUUUUUUUUUGUGAUAAAGCUUUCAAUUAAGACUUUCUACUCUUUUUGCUGGCAUAUGUGAUAAUUUUAAAAUUAUAGUCCAGGUGCGGUGGCUCAUGCCUGUAAUCCCAGCACUUUGGGAGGCCAAGGUGGGUUGAUCACCUGAGGUUAGGAGUUCGAGACCAGCCUGGCCAACAUGGCGAAACCCCGUCUCUACUAAAAAUACAAAAAUUAGCCAGGCGUGGUGGCUUGCACCUAUAAUCCCAUCUACUCGGGAGGCUGAGGCAGGAGAAUCACUUGAACCCGGGGGGAAGAGUUUGCAAUGAGCUGAGAUCACACCACUGCACUCUGGCUUGGGUGACAGAGCGAGACUCCAUCUCAAAAAAAAAAAAAUUGUGUUAAACAUCUAGAAGAAGACGACAUACAGCUGAGUUGGAUUUUUUCCCCCUCCUCUCCCAUUUAGAAAAGUCUGAACUCAGAGGUCUCAUGUCAACUGGAUAAUUGUUUUAUUGGCCUUAUUCUUAACUUAGUGUGAUUUAGGAAAAGACAAGGACAUCUAGAGUCAUGUUGUAAUCACAGUUCUGUGAUAUUUCAUGUUUUUCUAACUCAUAAAAAUACAGUGAGGAAAUCAACAGCUUGGACUGUGGGAAAAGAAGUAAAGCUGAAACUCUGAUACGCACAGGCCUGAGUAUGUUGUUUACAGAAUGAAAAGCGAGUUCCACAUAAGCUGAGACUUGGCUUCAGUCAUGCCUGGGAAUCUACAAACUCAAUGCCCUCUCACUGGCAGAACAUAAAAGCUAAAGAUUACCCCUAAUCCCGUGGCAUUUUAAAAUCCAUGGAAUGGGCUUUGGUGCUCAGCAAUUUUCACUUAAAGUCACACACUCUUUUGGAGGUACAAAUGUUUCAGUUCCCCCAGUAGUAUCUCUGGUAAGACUUACCAGAAUGAAUAUUGAUGCAGAUGAAGACACGAUUGUUCUGUCCAGAAGUGAUCACACUCCCCUUCACCCCCAAGUUCCACUUUUUAAACAAUUCAAAUAAUGGAAGCUCAUGUGACAGCUUUCUGCUGGUAAACCAGAGAAUAAGAUUCACUGCACUGGAAAAAAAGUGGAAACCACUCACAUAUUUAUCAAUGGAUGCAUGAGUAAACAAUAUCUGGCAUAUCCAUACAAUGGAAUAUUAUUCAGCCAUAAAAAGGAAUGAAGUACUGACACAUGCUACCACCCUGAAAAGAUGAUGCUGGCCGGGCGCAGUGGCUCACGCCUGUAAGCCCAGCACUUUGGGAGGCCAAGGUGGGUGGAUCACCUGAGAUCAGGAGUUCAAGACCAGCCCGGCCAACAUGGUGAAACCCUGUCUCUACUAAAGAUACAAAAAAAAAAAAAAAAAAAAAAAUUAGCUGACCACGGUGGCAGGCGCCUGUGAUCCCAGCUACUUCAGGAGGCCGAGGCAGGAGAAUCACUUGAACCCAGGAGGCGGAGGUUGCAGUGAGCCGAGAUCGUGACAUGGCACUGCAGCCUGGGUGACGAGAGCAAAACUAUGGCUCAAAAAGAAAAGAAAAGAUGAUGCUGAGUGAGAGAAGCCAGAUGACACAAAAGUCUACUUGUAUGAUUCCAUUUAUAUGACGUGUCAGCAGAAAAACAAACCCGUAGAGACAGAAAGCAGAUGAGUGGUUUCCAGGGUCCGGGGAAGGGAAAAGGGAAGUGACUGCUAACGGGUAAGGCAUUAGCUUUAGUUAGUUGAUUUCUUUUUGGGGUGAUGAAUAUUCUGGAAUUAACGGUGAUGGUUGCACAACUUUGUGACUAUACUAAAAACACUAAAUUGUAUAGUUUCAGAGAGAAAUUUUAUAGUGUGUAAACUACAUCUCAAUUAAAAAAAAAAAAAGUAAAAAGAAAACGCUGCAUAAGCCUCCCGUGGGGUUAAAAUAAGAGUAAGAGAAAAAAACAUGACUUCAUUGUGUGGGUGCCUGUGUUGAAGAUGAUUUAGUAGCUUCUGCCGUGAGGCAUUUGCUAGAAUAAAAUCCUUUCUGCCCUCAUCAUUGUCAGCACACUGGUUCGGGCCUUUAGCACUCCUACCUGGAUCGUGGAACUAAAGAAUUUUAGCAGCUGACAAGGACCUUAAAGAUUGUAGCCUAACUCUCUCGCUUGUCAGGGGAGGCAGCUGGUGCCAGGCAGAAGAAGUGGCAUGUUUGGAGUGGCCUGCCUGGUGUCUGAGCCACACCUGACACCCAGUGUUCUUUCCACUGGGCCUUUAUUGCAAUUGUUUUCCUCUCUCUUUAGUCUCUUCCUGCUCCAGUAGGAUUGUACAUUCCACUGACCUAAUCUUCCCGAAAUACAGAUCUCAUCACGUCACUGCCCUGCUGAAAAAACCCACAGUGGCUCCCCACUGCCUUCAGGCCCAGACCCCGGGAGCCUCCUUCACCUUCUGUCCACUUCUUGGCUCUCAUGGCUUCCUAAACAAACUCCCUUUGCCACUGCAGCACAUGGCGUGUGUCCCAAUAUCACGCUUCUGGGCACAUGUUGUUAAUCCACUUUGCAUAUGUUUAUGUCUUUGUGGCUCAGCUAGAUUGCAAGUUUCUCGGAGACCAGGAUCAUGCCUUUGACCUCCUGACACAGGGCACAGUGCAAUUCCUUGUACUUGUUAGGGGUCUGGAAAUAUUUGUAGAUUAGUUGAUUUCAUUCACAACCACAGCUAGUCUUCACCUGGUACACCUAAGAAUAUCUUGGAGGAGGCCGGUUGCGGUGGCUCAUGCCUGUAAUCCCAGCACUUUGGGAGGCUGAGGUGGGCGGAUCACGAGGUCAGGAGAUCGAGACCAUCCUGGCCAACAUGGCGAAACCCUGUCUCUACUAAAAAUACAAAAAAAAAAAAACAAAAAAUUAGCUGGGCGUGGUGGCAUGCGCGUGUAGUCCCAGCUACUUGGGUGGCUGAGACAGGAGAAUGGCUUGAACCAUGGAGUUGGAGGUUGCAGUGAGUCGAGAUCAUGCCACAGCACUCCAGCCUGGUGACAGAGUGAGACUCCAUCUCAAAAAAAGAAAAAAGAAAAAAUCUUAGAGGAGUUCUGGCAACAGGUCACUGUUUUAUGCUGCGUCUCUCAUGAGUUUAACUUUUGGGUGUAAUCUGGACAAGAAGAUUCUCGAAACCUCCUAUGAGAUUGGAUUUACUGUCAAAAAAGCAAAACACACUGACUUCAAAAGAAAAAAGCAAACAUUAUUUUUGAAACAACCUUUUAAUUUCUUAUAGAAGUACUGUAAUUUGUGUUCUUGGAGAUUUAGAAAAUUCAGAGAAAGUUCCAAGAAAAUAAAGAAGAAAAUUGAAAGCUCCCAUAAUCCUAGCCCCUAGGGGCUGUCUAUUGAUAAUCUUUCAUUUUUACAGCCAUUUUUCUAUGCACACACAAACACCACAUAUAUAUUCUUUACAAAAAUGAGAUUCCACUCUGUAUACUGUUUUAUAUCAUGCUUUUAAAUUAAGAUAAAAAUUAAAAUUUAAUAGGACUGCAUUAAGUGGGAACAAUUUUGCUGCUGUCAACUCGAGAGAGCAUUCCAAUGACACAGAGAAAGAGCAACUCCCUAUUUGUUUUGCUUCUUUGCAAAACAAACAGGGUAAGAAGAGUUCUGAGAACUAAGGGGCAAGGUGCCUUCCUAGCUGCCGACUUGAGUUGGGCGUGGAGUUGCUUCAUCUCCUUCUCUGUGUCUCCUCACCAGUUCUAUUGAAGGAAUUGGAGCUUGUACCCAUGAAGGUCCUUUUCUAGUUUUUGGAUUUUGUAAGCUUUGUUUUACAUUUCUCCCAUCCCUUCUUUGUGAAUAUUUCAGAGCCCUCUACUCAAGAGGGUAGGGGAUGUGGCUACUUUGUUCCCUGUUUUGUUGCCAGCAUGGUGCCUGGCAAAGAAUAGACACUCAAUAAAUAUUUGGUAAUGAAUGAAUGGGUGAGACUCUCAUGAGUGAUGUCCUUUGUUAUGGAAAUCACUAGGCCACAUGGUCUUCUUUUGGAAGCACCAAGUAGGAAUUCUAUAUUUAGGUUCUUGGAAUUGAAAUAAUAACACAAGUGACAUUGUACAUUAAUCAAUUAAUGGAAUAUAUGUAGCUGUGGCCCCAUGAGGGAGUUCUUGUUAAUUCCAUUCCACAAGUGGCCAGGGUCCACUGCUAGCCUCAUGAUCCCAGGUCCCGGGUCCCCUCUGCUAAUCUUCACUUUUGGGCACCACGGUUUCUCUCUGGUUGGGUAAGUCAUUCCACGACCAGUAAGGCAAGCUUAAGGCCGAAGUUUUCAAAUGUCAGUGUUCUUAAGAAUUGCCCAGGCCUUACUAAUCCCAUUUUUUUUUUAGAUGGAGUCGCCUAAGCUGGAGUGCAGUGACAUGAUCUCGGCUCACUGUAACCUCUGUCUCCCGGAUUCAAGCAAUUCUCCUGCCUCAGCCUCUGGAGUAGCUGGGAUUACAGGUGUGCACCACCACACCUGGCUAAUUUUUGCAUUUUUGGUAAAGACAGGGUCUCACCAUGUUGGCCAAGCUAGUCUUGAACUCCUGACCUCAAAUGAUUCACCUGCUUUGGCCUCCCAAAGUGCUGGGAUUACAGGCAUGAGCCACCACCCCUGGCCAGUGAUCCACAUUUUAAAUAAUUGCUUGCUAUGAUUUGAAUGCAGGUGGUCUGAAACCUAUCGAGAACACUAGCUUGAAACAUUUCAGAUUCAGUGUUUUGUAAAGCAGAGGAGAGGCCAUGAUUGGCCAUUAGGAGCUUCAUCAAGCGUCAGCUUGCCCACAGCUUUGGUUUCCAGGGAGACUGGGAAGUAACAAUACAAUAGUUCAUCUUCAUUAUGAGUGUACCAUGCCAAGAGCUUUCCUAAGUGCUUUACAUUCAUUAUCCUCUUUAAUUCUCUUAAGAAUUGUAUGAGGUAGGUCCUAUUAUUACCUCUAUCUUACAAGGAAACUGAGGAUCAGACAAGGAUAUCUAGCUUAUCCAUGAUUAGGUAGAGCUGACAAUGGGAUUAAAUAAUCAAGUCCUGCUACUGCCAGGUUAAGAAAACCCAGCUCUUUGUUGUUUUAUAACAACUGGGGGAAGCUGGUGUGCAUCAUUGGCUGAUAGGAAGAGAAAUUGAAUUCCACAUCUAUGUCCUACUUCAUGCAUGGAUUGCUCUCAACAACCGUGAAACGGAAUACAAAACAGUGAAACAGGUGAAAUUCACAUCUUGUCUUUCCGUGUGCAUACUCUUAGGACCAGCCCUGGCCAUGUUCUGUAUAUGACCACUUUAACCUCAAAACUGUACUGUUAAAACUCAACAAUAAGAAAAGGAACAGUCCAGGCCAGGUGUGGUGGCUUACACCUGUAAUCCCAUCACUUUGGGAGGCCAAGGCUGGUGGAUCACUUGAGCCCAGGCAUUUGAGACCAGCCUAGGCAACGUGGCAAAACCCCGCCUCUACCAAAAAAAAUAAAAAAUAAAAAAACAACAACAAAACUCCAAAUCGUGGUUGUGUGCACCUGUAGUCCCAGCUACUCAGGAGGCUGAGGUGGGAGAAUUGCUUGGGCCCAGGAGGUGGAGGUUGCAAUGAGCUGACAUCACACCACUGCACUCCAGCCUGGGCAAUAGAGCAAGACCCUGUCUCAAAAAAAAAAAACAAAAAGAAAAAGAAAAAAUGAAAAGGAGCAGUUCAAUUAAAAAAUGGGCAAAAGACCUGAACAGACACCUCACCAAAGAAGAUAUAUGGAUACCAAAUAAGCAUAUGAAAAGAUGUUCAACAUCAUUUAUUGUUAGGGAAUUGCAAAUAAAAAUGACAAAAGAUACAACUACAUACCUAUUACAAGGGCCAAAAUCCAAACACUGACAGCACCAAAUGCUGACGAGAAAGUGGAACAACAAGAACUCUCAUUCUUUGCUGCUGAGAAUGCAAAAUGAUACAGACACUUUGGAAGACACUUUGGCAGUUUCUUACAAAACUAACAUACUCUUACCACAUGAUCCAGCAAUUAUACUCCUUGAUAUUUACCCAAAUGAGCUGAAAACAUAUCCACACAGAAACCUACACAGGAUUUUAUAACUGCUUUAUUCAUAGUUGUCAAAACUUGGAAGCAACCAAGAUGUCCUCCAGUAGGCGAAUGGAAAAACACACUGUGGUACAUCCAGACAGUGGAAUAUUAUUCAGUACUAAAAGGAAAUGAGCUGUCAAGCCAUGAAAAGACAUGGAGGAAAUUUAAAUGCGAUUAUGAAGUGAAAGAAACCAAUCUGAAAAGGCUACGUAUGAUUCCAACUAUAUGAUAUUUUGAAAAAGGCAAAACGGUGGAGAUAGUGGUUGACAGGGGUUGGAGGGAGGGCAGGAUCAACAGGCAGAGCACGGAGGAUUUGUAGGGACGUCAAACUGUUCUUUAUGGUUCUGUAAUGGUGGAUCCAUAUCAUGAUACAUUUGUCCAAACCAAAGAGUAUACAACACCGAGAAUGAACUCCAAUGUAAACUACAGACAUUGGGUGAUAAUGAUGUAUCAGUGUAGGUUCACUGAUUGUGACAAAGAUCAUCCUCUGGUGGGGGACGUCCAUAGUGGGGGAGGUGGUGCAUGUCUGGGUGCAGUGGGCAUAUGGGAAGUGUACUUUCUGCUCAAUUUUGCUGUGAACCUAAAACUGCUCUAAUAAUUCAAGUUCAUUAAUUCAAAAAGAACCCCUGAAUUGUUUUAACAGGGAUAUUUGAAUAUUGAGUACUGACCAGAUAUUUACUGAUAUUAAGAAAUUGUUGGCCAGGUGUGGUGGCUCACACCUGUAAUCCCAGCACUUUGGGAGGCCAAGGCAGGUGGAUCACCUGAGGUCAGGAGUUUGAGACCAGCCUGGCCAACAGGGUGAAACCCUGUCUCUACUAAAAAUAACAAAAAUUAGCUGGGCAUUUUGGUGCAUGCCUGUAGUCCCAGCUAUUUGGGAGGCUAAGGCAGGAGAACUGCUCGAACCCAGGAGGUGGAGGUUGCAGUGAGCCAAGAUCAUGCCAUUGCACUCCAGCCUGGGCAACAGAGCGAGACUCCAUGUCAAAAAAAUAGAAAAAAAAAAAAAAAAAAGAAAUUGUUGGGGUUUUUUUUCAGGUGUGAUACUGGUAUUGUGGUUAUGUUUUUAAAAAGUCUUUAUGUUUUUAGCUGGGUGCGGUGGCUCAGGACUGUAAUUCCAGCUACAUGAGAGGAUUGCCUGAGGCCAGGAGUUUGAGACCAGCCUGAACAACAUAAUAGACUGGGAGCUCCAUGAGGUCCGAGACAACCUGAAGACGCCCAGCUCAGCAGAGACUGGCUACGGCAAUCACUCAGUAACUAUUUGUUGAAUUGGACAUAAUAGAAGAGCUGAAGAAUUUUAAACAAGUCACCAUCAGUGCAGUGGAUUCCUCAAAGCAAACCUGGAAAUCUCGGCAUGAGUUGGAUUUAAGGCAGUACAUUUUCAGCUCCUGAAAAUUUGAACAGUUUCUCAAGAGAACAACUUGAAACAGAAAGGCAAGGAUGUAGAUGUGGUUGUAGAAGAUGAUGUCUGCGGCCACCAAACUGUCCACUGUGAAGACAAACCAUGCAUGUUUAGUAGGCAGUGGCUCCUCUUCCCUGUGGGGAGUCCCACUGCUUCCCUGGCCUGGGUGUUCUCUGCCGGUAGAUGUUAUUGACAAAAUAAGCAAAGUCCUCUGAUUCUGAGAAUUAGAGUUAAUGAUAGCUCUAGAUUGCCUCUGCCAUGCUAUUUAAAGUCCUGCUUUAUUGUCUGACAUGAGUUCGGCAUCUAUGAGGACUUGUCCAGUGCAAAGUACAAUCUCCACUGAAAGAUAUCACCAGCACAUCUUGUCACUGUGCUGUAGCAAGCUGGGCAGUACAAUGAUGUUGGCAGGAUCCUGUUUAGGUGGAGGAUGGCCACCUGGGCAUCAAGAAUCUUCUACCCUGAUUCCACAUUGACUCCCCAAAGUGGGCUUCAGACAGCUCUUUACUUACGUCUUCUGAUUAAAGCAGCAGACAGGGUCCCAGCUAGAGAAAAGUUCUGGGAGCAGGAGAGGUGUUGGUGGCUUUAAAACCAGGGGUGAAGAUUGAAUUAGGAGGUUAGGCAGGAGUAGGAUCAAAGACUUAGAAAAUGCUUGUUUCCUCCUAUUAUUCUUAUGAGAGCUGAUACGGGGCUUUCAGUUUUGGGGGAGAGCCUUGGAAGAGAAUGAGGGAAUUUAAUCAACUAGCGGGACCUUUCCAACUUACAUUUCCCAGUGUUUGUUGGAUGAUACGUUUGCCUAAUAAGUUAAAGCUUCCAAAAAUAGAAAGGAAAGCUUGGUGACACUAAGCUCUGGCAUGCUGUCAUCUUCUGGCUAGGGGUCUUGUGCUUCUGUUUUUCUAUUUCUGACCAAAGACAUAAAAUGUGUUGUGACCUCUCAGGUAAUGCUGUGGUAUCAUGUCCAAGCAGUAACUAACCAGAGUGGAGUUUUUACAGGUAAAAAAGUAUUGAAUAGCUCAGCAACAGGGAGGACUUAAUGAUAAAUUGCUUUUUCAGAAAAUGACAAGGGGACAGACACUUGCGGUUCUUCCAUUGAGAGCCUUAAGGAAGUUAAGCGAAGCCUCUGCUCACCCCUUCAAGUAACGAUGACCCAUCAGAUCGUGGUCAUAACCAGUAGCAUCUGAGGCACCCCUAAGCUCUCUGGGCCCCAGAUUCCUUGUUAAGUUAAAUGAGGUGACUUCCCAGUUUACCAUUCUAGGGGUUCCUGAGGAGUUAAAAAUGAAGGAGAAAAUGCAACAUGUACCAAGUGAGCAAGAGCUCAAGGCUUAUCUCUGGCACGAAAGUGACCGCUGUCCGUUAGAGAUGUGAUUGCCCUAGAUUUCCUUUAGGAAAUGCAAACAUUGAACUCUGGCCUUCAGGACCCAAGUCCCGGCUUGCAUCUAUUCUAUACACUUUCUGUUAUUUGUUAGGGCUCACAAGGAACAGUUAUUUAUCUUUUAUUUUCUAUUUUUUUUUUAGAGAUGGAGUCUCACUCUGUCUCCCAGGCUGGAGUGCAGUGGUGCCAUCUCAGCUCACUGCAACCUCCACCUCCCGGGUUCAAGCAAUUCUCCUGUCUCAGCCUCCUGAGUAGCUGGGACUACAGGCGUGUGCCAUCAUGCCCGGCUAAUUUUUAGUAUUUUUAGUAGAGGCAGGGUUUCACCAUAUUGGCCAGGCUGGUCUUGAACUCCUGAUCUCAAGUGAUCUACCCUCCUUGGCCUCCCAAACUGCUGGAAUUACAGAUGUGAGCGACCACACCUGGCCCAUUUGUUUUCUUUCAAACCCUUCUGUAAGACCAGUGCUUUAGGUGAACACGUGGACAGAACAAGAUCAUCACUAUUUUGCAAUAUGAAGACCAACUGCGCUGUGACCAGAAAAACAGAGGCAAAAUGUUGAGCUUAAUGAUACCUUUUUAUAAUUUGUAUUUGGUGUUUCUCAAUUUUCCAUUGGAUAGUUUGAGAGAUAAGUACAAGUCAAUGACAUGUUCUCUUUCGUACCCUAUUGUCUAAUCCUGCUAACACACACACACACACACACACACACACUGAUUACCUAAUUUAUCUGUUCCCCGAUUAUUACACUCUCAAUUGCUGCAGAGUCUCAGAAGCAGCAUGGUGUAACAGAAAGAAUAUGAGGCUUAGAAUCCAAAAGCCAGAGUGUGAAUUCCAGCUCCACUGACUUGCUGCGUGACUUGAAGCAAGUCAUUACGUGUCUCUGUUUACUCAUUUUAUGACUUUCCUAUUGCCUCUGUAAUAUAGCACCACAAACGUGUGGACUUAAAACAACAUGCAUUUAUUCUCUUAGCGUUCUGGAGGUCAGGAGUCUGACAUCAAUUUCGUUGGGCUAAAAUCAAGAUGUUGGUAGGACCAAGAUCCCCGUGGAGGCUCUGGGAGAACCCAUUUCCUUGCCUUUGCCAGCUUCUAAUGCUGCAUUCCUUGCAUUCCUUGAUUGUUGACCUCUUCCCCCAUCUUCAAAGCCAGCAGAACAGCACCUUGUUUCAUUGCCUUCUUUACUGUCAAAUCUCCCUCUGCCUUCUUCUUAUAAGAACACUUGUGGUUGCAUUUAGAAGCUGUGAUAAUCCAGAAUAAUAUCUUUAUCUCAAGAUCUUUGACUUGGUCUCUUCUGCAAAGUCUCUUUUGCCACAGAGGGAAAUAUUCACAGGUCCCAGGGGUCAGGCUGUGUACGUCUUUGGGGGACUUUAUUCUGCCUACCACACUCAUCUUUUUUUUUUUUUUUUUUGGAUGGAGUCUUGCUCUGUCACCCAGGCUGGAGUGCAGUGGCAUGAUCUCGGCUCACUGCAACUUCUGCCUCCCCAGUUCAAGCAAUUCUCCUGCCUCAACCUCCCAAGUAGCUGGAAUUACAGGCGCCUGCCACCACGCCCGGCUACUUUUUGUACUUUUAGUAGAGAUGGGGUUUCACUAUGUUGGCCUGGCUGGUCUUGAACUCCUGACCUCAGGUGAUUCCCCCACCUUGGCCUCCCAAAGUGCUGAGAUUACAGACGUGAGCCACCAUGCCCGGCCCCACACUCAUCUAUUAAGUAGAGCUAGGAAUUCCUAUCCUAAGGGACACAAAAAUGAAAAAAGAUAAAAUUUGUGAAGAGGCACAUAAUGAAAGCCCAUACAUGUCACUGAGUUCAGAGGAGGGUGGGUCUGACCUCCCAUUGGCUGGUCUCUGCCUGAUGGACAUCGUGAAGAAGAGAGCCAGGACUAGUGUGGCUGGGGGAUGUUCAGGGGCCAGAGUGGCUUCAGGUGCCAGCAGCCCUGGCCGAAGGAUGACUCCAGGAGCAAGGCUCAGAGCCGAGUGGAAGAAGCUUCAUAAACGCAACUGAGCCAAGCAUGAUGGGAUGUGCCUGUGGUUCCAGCUACUCAGGAGGCAGGUGGGAGGAUGGCUUGAGUCAGAAGUUCGAGGCUGCAGUGAGCUAUGAUCACACUACUGUACUCCAGCCUGGGUGACAGAAUGACACCCUGUCUCUAAAAAGAAAAGGCACCUGGAUGCUCAUGACCGAGAUGGGGUGGGGUGGGUGGGGUGGGACAGCCGCACUUUAUAACUUUGCUUUCAGCAUGAUGUGGAUUAGUGUCUCCCAUGUGGGAAAAUUAUGUUUACCACUUAGAGACCUGAUAGUGCUUGCUUACCCCAUAACGCUGGACGGUGGCAGGCUUAACUCCCCCAUCAAGGGCCUUAAUGUAUUUGGGGCCCUAGUCCUAGCAACAGCAGCAAAUCUCCUUUUUCUUUUCCUCGAGCUGGUUGUUCACCAGGCAGUUGGGAUGUUAAUGGGAAGAGAAGACACACACAAGUCCCUUGUUUUCAAUAAGGCAGUCUGGUCACGUCCUUAGCAGGUUAUUAAUCUUUUUCAAACCCCUCCUCUCCACCAAGUUUUAUGAUCCUGGGAAGGAGAUUCCUACCUAGCAUCCUUAGAGUUAUCGGGGGUUAGGAUCGGUGCAUGCAGUCACUUCCGUGGAAUCAUCAGUAGCCCUCCAGCCUCUGGGGAGAGCUGCCAGUGGUCAGAGAUGUUGGGAAUUACGAGGGAGGAGCUAGGGAGAAGGAACUCACAGUCCCUCAGUCUCUGAAGGUGGCUCCUGGCAGGAGAGGGGGCCAGUCCUAGAUAAGAGCUCUCCCAGGGAAUUCCAAGGGUCCUCCCAAGGUCCAGCCACAAGAUGAGGAAUUACUGUUGGGCUCUUCCUCAGAUGUGCCUGUGAAUUCAUAUCACAGAUGCUUGAUGCAUUUGACAAUUGUUUAAUUGCUUGAGCCCAACUGAUACUCUUUCAGUCACUUUAAGGGAGUGAUUUCAAGUAUGAUCAUUGCCUCAAAUCUGUAUGGCUUUCCUUGCCUUUCAGGUGCUUUAAGAGGGCUUAUGUUCUUUGACUCCCCUAGUAACUCAAAAGGGUGGCUAAGAUGCAACUCUGGAGGUUUCCAAGCUCUCUGCAAAGCCUGCCUUCAGUAGUCUGUGCACCACAAGAAGCAUAACUUUAUUAUCCUCUAGCUGAAUUUACCUCCUGCUUCGAGCCCCUGUUUUCCCAUGUCAUUUUAGGGGUCCAAUGUUUUUCCUGGAGGCAUAUACACACACACACACACACACACACACACACACACACACACACACACACACACAUAUAUACACACACACAUUCCAGGGGCCUCUGAGGUGCCAAGACAUGUGUGGGGUCCAUCUGGUUCACACUGAUGUCCAUGAUCAUUGAGUUCAUUUUUUAUAUCAACUAUGUGACACUUCCUAUAGUUUCCAGUUCCUGGUUAGAAUUUGCAAAGUUGCCGACUAUUUCUUUGAAUAGAGUAGCUAGAUCAUGGGUCUACACCAGUCAUCAAGCAGCGAUUUCCCUGUUGGAAGCUCCAAGCAAAUUGUCAGCUCCAGCAUUCCACACAGCUGUGGGUGCCACACUCCUUUUCCUUUUAAAAGAUGAUGAUCUGCUAGUGGUGAAUGCUCUUGGAGUUUUAUUUGUAGGUUUUUCUUGUUGUCGCAAAUGUCUAUAUUUCAUCUUCCCUCUUGAGGGAUAUUUUCCAUGGGUAGAGGAUCUAGGCUUUUCUUUUGGAUUCCAUUGUGGCUUUAAAAAAAAGUCAGUUGACUGUUUAUUUAUGGCUUCUCUAAAGGUGAUCUCUUUCUUCCUAAGGCUGCUUUAAAAGUUUCCGUUCCCUCCCUCCCUUCCUCCCACCCCAUCCCCCUUCUUCCUUUCCUUCCUCCCUCCCUUCCUCCCUUCUCUUCCUCCCUUUCUCCCUUGUCUUCCUCCUUUUCUCCCAUCCUCCCUUCCUCCCUCUUUCCUUCUUUUUUCCCUUCCUCCCGCCCUCCUUCCUUCUUCCAUCAUUAUAUAUUAAAAUAUUUUCUUUCUUUCUUUUUUUUUUUUGAGAUGGAGUUUCGCUCUUGUUGCCCAGGCUGGAGUGCAACGGUGUGAUCUUGGCUUACUGCAACCUCCACCUCCCUGGUUCAAGCGAUUCACCUGCCUCAGCCUCCCUAGUAGCUGGGAUUACAGGUGCCCGCCACCACACCCAGCUAAUUUUUGUAAUUGUAGUAGAGAUGGGGUUUCACCAUGUGGGCCAGGCUGGUCUUGAACUCCUGAACUCAGGUAAUCCACCCGCCUUGUCCUCCCAAAGUGCUGGAAUUACAGGCAUGAGCCACCACUCCCAGCCUAUUAAAAUAUUUUCUUCUGGGCCUUCCCUCCUUUUACUUCUUUUGAUACCGCCAUCAAAUGCAUGUUAGGUUGACUCACUGUGUACUCUAUUACCCUCUCAUCUGGUUUUUAAUCUUUCUGUCUCCUUAUACUGUAAUCUCAGUGUUUCUUCUGCUUUAAUUUUGGUAUAUGAAUUAUUCAGCUGUGUUCAAAGUGUGGUUAAAGCGACUUAUAUGCUCUUUAAUUUUUAGUUAUUGUACUUUUCACCUCUAGAAGUUCUUCUGUGACACUUCUUAUAGUUUCCAGUUCCUGGUUAGAAUUUGCAAACUUGUUGACUAUUUCUUUGAAAAGAGUAGCUAGAAUUGUUUUAGUCUGUGUAUAGUGAGUUGAAUAUCUGAAACCUCUGUGAGUCUGUUUCUUUUGUCUGCUAGCCCUACUCAUGGCGUCAUGUUUUCCUGGAUGUUUAGUUGGUUGUCUUUGAAUAUGUCCAACUCCAGUUAUUUCUGGGAAUACCCAAAGGCACACCUGUUCACUAUCACCCAGUGAACUGCCAUGUGUUUGUCUCCUGUCAUGGUAACAUUUGCAUUCAGGGAGAGGCCUCUGCUCUCUGCAGAACAGUGUGAAAUCACCUCAUUUUUGCCUUCAAUGAAGGUUGUCUCUUGCUGGUCACCACCACUUCCUCAAAUGACUAAUGCCACUCUUGCUCACAGUGCUAAGGCGCUAAGGAGUUUUCAGAGGGCUAGAGUGAUUCUGCAUCCUCUGGGGUUCUCAGGAAACGAGGCCACAGGGCCAUCUGUGCAUGAGUGACAGUGGGGUGGGGUGGAUGAGCAGUGGCAGUGGUGGGCACCUAUGCUGCUGGCGCCACAGCUUUUUAUAUCUUGGUGAAAACAACGCCUUGCGUUUUCACUUGUAGAUUCUCCGGCUACAUUCCACAAGAACAAAUUCUGGUCACAGAGGCCAGAGUAGACUAUCAGUGUAAUGGCCCUUCCCCUUUGAUGAUAGCAGCUUUUUUCGGGGGAGCAGGGGUGGCCAAACUUCCUAGCCUUAUUUUAUCUUCCUUUCUAGUUCUCCCCAGAGGCUGCUGGGUCCACCUCUCCCUCUGCCAGACAGACAGGCUCAGACAUGCAAGAACGGAAGGGGGUGUGGGGGUUGGUGGGAGGAUUAAGUUGGGGAAAGCCAGUCUUGUCUUUGUAGAUUACCAGAACUGACACACGUACACACACGUACACUCACUCACUCACUCACUCAUCUAUUCAUCUAUUUUUGGCCUAAGUGCCUUUGGACACUUCUUCGGAAAAGCACAUGAACUCUUCGGAGUCUCCUGUUCCACUUGGUAAAUUUCCUAUAGCCACGCACUGAAAGUCCCUGCUGCCCUCCUUCCUCUGAGCUUGUGGGGCCCACAGAUCCCCUGCUCCACUUCCUGCUUCAUUUCAGCUGAUGGUGAGUCCAGGGCAGGCUUGUAGGAAGGGCGGGCUAGGCGUGGGGAACUGCAGCACCCACCCCACCCCCCGCCCCAGUGCUUGUUGCCCCAGCCUCUGUCUCCCUCGCUGUGCCCUUCCCUUAAGCCCCACUCUUGGCCUCCCCAAAGACAGAGUUUGUUCUGUUUUUAUUGAUAGGAUGACACUCCCUCGUUCUAAUACCAUCUGAAUGCCUGAGCAAUUACAUCUUACAACCUCAUGAAAAACACAGCAGCUUGUCACGAUGAAUGAUGUUACCGUGAAUAAUGCAGUUUUGAGUUCAAACUCCUUCUUAUUCCAAGAAUGAGUAAAUAUCCCUAUUCCCUCCCCUCCCCAUUGCAUUUGGGUUUGACAUGACAUGAAUCAUUGUGGUUUUACUCCUGGGUAGAAUUGUUUUUCUGUAUUGCAUUGCCAAUUGAUGGAAGGACAAAAAAAGGAAACUUACCAAUGAGCAGUUUCAGAUGAACUUAAAUUCUCAGAAAUCUUGAAGAAUGAAUGAACUAUAACUUUCUGAAGUUGCAAAAAUGUUCAAGUCGGAAGUGACCCAUGGGAAGCAACCUGGUCCUUAAUUAGGACUGGAAAGAAAACGGAGGCCCAGCGAGGGAACAGUGGCUUCCCCAAGGUCACACUGCAAGUGAGUGGUGGCACUAGUCACCCAGGAGUCCUCCUGACUCCAUGGUAUCCUGACCCCAGACCAGCAGCCUUAUUUGUGGUUAAAGAACGUGGAAAAACAGCUUAUGUUUGAAUUUUAAAAUCAUGCCAGUACUAAAGAUCUGCAUUCCAUGAAUAUUGAGCUUUGCUGUGUGCGGGUUGCUACGAAUUUUGUAACUAUUUUCUCUAAGAGCUCUCAGUAUUUUACAUAUACAAUUCCAUUCUUUAUUGUCCAGGGAAAAAGUUGCAUUUACUGAGCAGUAAGAGGGUGAUUUGAAGUCCCUGGGGUCCCCCACCCUUGUCUUUCUAUGUGAGAUUGUAUUGCAGGGCUCACAUUUAUUCUCUCAGCAGCUCAUUGCACAGACAGUGUAUUUAUUGAGCACCUACUGUGUGCCAGGAGCUAUGUGGUAAGCUAAGCAGACAAAAACUCCUGCUCUCACAAGAAGAAAGAAUAAACAAGCAGACAAUUGCACCUAUAAUGUCAGCCUGGUGUGAUGGCUCACUCCUGGAAUCCUAGCACUUUGGGAGGUGACGAUGGGAGGAUUGCUUUAACUCGGGAGUUCAAGAUAAGCCUGGGCAACCAAGACCCUGUCUCUACAAAAAAAUCAAAAAAUUAGCUGGGGGUGAUGGCAUGAGUCUCUGGUCCCUCGGGACCAGAGGCCUCGGGAGGCUGAGGCGGGUUUAUCACUUGAGCCUGGGAGGUUGAGGCUGCAGUGAGCUGUGAUCACACCACUGCACUCCAGCCUGGGCCACAGAGCGAGACCCUGUCUCUAAAUAAACAAACAACCUAAUGUCAAGUUAGGAAGUGUGGCAAAAAGGAACAAAGUCAGGGUGACUGCCAUUCUAGAAAGGGUGGUGAGGGAAGGUCUCCUUGAGCAGAUCCUGUGGGAGUGGAAGGGUAAGUCACGAGACUCUCUGGAGGAAGAAGAUUCCAGGUGGAAAUGCCUUAGUGGGUGUUAAACGCUUUAACGGGUGUUAGCCAGAAAGCCAGAAUGGCUGGAGCUGAGGGAGUAGAGGAGGCGGCAUAGAAAAUGAGGUCAGAGAUGGAGGCAGGGCCGGAUCACAGAGGGGCACAGAGAACGAGGAGGGAAUUGGAUUUUUGGAAAAGAUUGUGGCAAAAUACAAAAUAUAAAAUACAAAAAUAAAAUAUAAACCAUAAAAUGUACUACCUUUACCAUUUUAAGUAUGCAGUUCAGUAGUGUUAAAUACAUUUACAUCAUUGUUCAACCCGUCUCCAGAACUCUCUGCAUCUUGCAAAAUUAAAACUCUAUGCCAUUUCAACAGUUCGCAUUUCCUCUUCCCUCUCGUUCAUGGCAACCGCCAUUUUUCUUUCUGUCUCUGUAAAUGUUAGUACUUGGGGUAUCUCAUCUAAGUGGAAUCACACAGUGUGUGUCCUUUUGUGACAGACUUAUUUCACUUUGCAUAAUGUCCUUAAUAUUCAUCCAUGUUGUAGCAUGUGUCAGAUUUUCCUUCCUUCUUAACAUUGUGUAAUAUUCCAUUGUACGCAUAGACUACAUUUAGCUUAUCUGUUCACCUGUGGAUGGACACUUGGGUUGCUAUAGUGAAUAAUAUUGCUGUAAAUAUGGGUAUACGAUUAUCUCUUUGUGACCCUGCUUUUAAUUGUUUUGGAUAUAUACCCAGAAAUGGAAUUACUGAAUCAUGUGGAGAUUCUGUUUUUGAUUUAUUUAUUUAUUUUUAAUUUUUGAGAUGGAGUCUCGUUCUGUCACCCAGGCUGGAGUGCAGUGACACGAUCUCUGCUCACUGCAACCUCUGCCUCCUUGCACCAUUAAUUCUGAAAAUGCAGGCCUGGAUCCAACCGCCUUUGGGGACGGGUACCUGCCCACAGGAAGAGGUUGAGGAGACAAUAAUGUCACGAGAAUCAUCAUCUUUGACUGGGAAAUGGUGUGCAGAGUUUCUGGUGCCUUCUGAAGUGAUUGUCGCAUCUCAGCCUCCCUAGUAGCUGGGAUUACAGGCAUUUGCCACCAAGCCCGGCUAAUUUUUGUAUUUUUAGUAGAGACGGGGUUUCAUCAUGUUGGCCAGGCUGGUCUCAAACUCCUGACCUCAGGUGAUCCACCUGCCUCAGCCUCCCAAAGUGCUGGGAUUAUAGGUGUGAGCCAUGCACCUGGCCUGAUUGGUUAUUUAAAUUCUGAGAUGGGGUAUACUAAUGUUUGAAAACCACAGGGAUGGGAUAGGUAUAGGUGGGGAGGGAGAGCAAAAGUGGUAUUUAGAAUAUGUUACGUUUGAAAAACCUAAUACACAUUCUACAUCCAAGUGGACAUAGAUGGAGUUAUUUGAAGCUCAGAAGACACCUGAGUUGGAGACAGGAAUUUGUGGAUCAUCUGAUAUAUUUAGCAUUUAUAGCCACAGGGCUGCUGCCUGACUUUUUUUCCCCCUAGACAGUUUCGCUCUUGUUGCCCAGGCACGACCUUGACUCACUGCAACCUCUGCCUCCCGGGUUCAAGCGAUUCUCUUGCCUCAGCCCCCCGAGUAGCUGGGAUUACAGGUGUCCACCAUCACGCCCGGCUAAUUUUAGUGCUUUUAAUAGAGAUGGGUUUCACCAUGUUGGCCAGGUUGGUCUCAAACUCCUGACCUCAGGUGAUCCACCUGCCUUGGCCUCCCAAAGUGCUGGCCAGGCAUGAGCCACUGCACCUGGCCACCACUGCCUGUUUUUGUACCGCUUGGCAAGCUAAGAAUGGUUUUCACAUUUUUGUUUCUUUUUUUUUUGGAGACGGAGUCUCACUCUGUCACCCAGGCUGGAGUGCAGUGGCACAAUCUCAGCUCACUACAAGCUCCGCCUCCCGGGUUCACGCCAUUCUCCUGCCUCAGCCUCCCGAGUAGCUGGGACUACAGUUGCCUGCCACCACGCCCAGCUAAUUUUUUGUAUUUUUAGUAGAGACGGGGUUUCACUGUGGUCUGGAUCUCCUGAACUCGUGAUCCGCCUGCCUCGGCCUCCCAAAGUGCUGGGAUUACAGGCAUGAGCCACCGUGACCGGCCACUGCUGCCUGUUUUUGUACUGCUUGGCAAGCUAAGAAUGGUUUUCACAUAUUUGAAUAUUUGAAAAAAAUUUUUCAAGAAUACCAUUUUGUGGCACACGAAAAUUAUAUGAAAUUCAAGUUUCAAUGUCCACAAAUAAAGUUUUAUAGGAACAUAGCAUGCUCACUCAUUUAGGUAUUGUUACGGCUGCUUCCACACUACAGCAGCAGGGUUCAGAGGUCAUGGCAGAGACCACGUGGCCCACAAAGGUGAAUGUACUUCCCUUUGUAGAAGCUGUUUGCCAAACUCUUGGCUAGCAGAGUGAGUCAUGAGAGAAGAGAGAAGUGCAUGGACUGAGGUCUGUCCAGGGCCUGUCAAGAGCCAGUAACCGUUGCUGUGCGUCAAGGAUGCCAAGAUGGUGCCUGCUCCAUGAGCAACAAAGCCCAGGGGCCCAGCAAGCCAAGGCUGCUUGCCUCUUCCCCUGGGGCCAGCUGUGCAUCUUGUGGAUGGCUGAAGUUGAGCAACCCAUAACAGGCUCCUGACCCACUGUGAGAUGGUGGCAUGUGAAAGGACCAGCAUCCAACAGUCUUGCCCUUACUAUAUUAGUAAUUUCCUGGGGCUACAGGAGCUAUUUACUACAAACUGAGUGACUUAAAACAAUGGAAAUGGAUUCUCUCGCAGUUCUAGAGGGUAUUAUUCUUUCAAUCAAUCAAGGUGACAGCAGGGCCAUGCUCCCAAAGACAGCUCUAGGAAAAGCUCCUGGUUUCUAGCGGCUGCCUGCACUCCUUGGCAUUCCUUGGCUUACAGCUGCAUCAUUCCAGUCUCUGCUUCGGUCACCACGUGCCUUCAUCCCUGGGUCGCUUCCAUGUCUCUAUGUCCAAAUGUCGCUCUUCUUAUAAGGAUGUUAGUCAUUGGAUCAGGGCCCACCCUAAUCUGGUAUGACUUCAUAUUAAUGUGAUUGCAUUGAUAAAGACGCUGUUUCCAAAUAAAGCCAUCGUCACACGUAUGGGGACUAGGACUUCAACAUAUCUUUUUGAGGGACAAAAUUCUACUCACUAUACUUCCACACACAUGCAGAUUUCACGUGGUUGAAUCUAAGAGUAUUUGGGUUCUUGCGAUAAAAGGAUAUGGCCCGGUGACUAAUCCUGGGGAAAGAAAUAAAAAGAGAAAAAAACCUCUAGUAUUGGUGUUAAGACCCUGAGUUUUACUUCAUUUCCUCACCACUCCCUGCUGCCUGCAGGCAGGCCAGCUGCCUCCCUAGGGGCAGAAUUGGAGAAAGAAUACGUCUCUCUGAUGUAACUACUGCGCUCAGGCAACCCACUGUGGAGCUUCACAGUGGUUCUCUGCCAAAGAUUCUGAGGUUUUUAGCCUGAGAUGAUAGGUCAAAACCAGGGAGGUGCUCAUGGGGGAAAGCAGCACUGGACAGAGUCUAGAUGCUGCUUCCCUCAGGCUGUGAUGACCUUCAACUGGCCCUCAUCCCCAAGAACCUCAGCUUCUUCCUCUGUAUUAAGGAAAUAACCAUAGCCCCGUCCGUCUGUCACAAUGUAGAAGCGGGGAUGAGAAGUGAAAAGUGAGGUCUUGCAAAGGUCUCGCAAGUCCUCUGCAAAGCUAAGGGGUAUUACUGGACAGCGACUUGGAUGAGGAUGGCCAGACAUUGUCCUCCUUCAGGACCAGCUUCUCAGAGCAGAGUCUCCAAACAUAAUGUCGCUUCCAGAUGACGCAAAUCUGAUAUCAGAGAAUGACUAAAAGCUUGAAACUUUGCUUUUAAUCUGUUGUGGAUCAAGUUUCUUUUCAAAUAAAUCAAAGUCUGUGAACUUAGGAAGGAGGAAAAUUGCUGGAUAUCUUUUUUGGCGGAGGGAUGGGGGGCCCUCUGCCAAUUUAACCAUUUCAAAGUGUCCAAUUCCAUGGUUUUAAGUAUACUCUAGUUCCAGAAUUUGCUCAUCAUCCCAAAUAGAAUAUCUAUACUCAUUAGCAGCCUCUCCCUGGCUCUUCACCCUUCUCCCGUUCCUGGCUACCAUGAAUCUGUGUCUGUCUGUAUAGAUUUGCCUAUUUUGGAUCUCUUCUCUUCUGUUCUCUUCUCUUUUUAAAGAUGGAGUGUCUCACUGUGUCACCCAGGCUGGAGUGCAGUGGCGUGAUCUCGGCUCACUGCAACCUCCACCUCCUGGGUUCAAGUGAUUCUCCUGCCUCAGCCUCCUGAAUAGCAGGGAUUACAGGUGCCUGCCACCAUGUGCGACUAAUUUUUAUUUUCUAUUUUUUUUUUUUUUUAGUAGAGACAGGGUUUCACCAUGUUGCCCAGGCUGGUCUCAAACUCCUGGCCUCAAGUGAUCCGCCCGCCUCAGCUUCCCAAAGUUUUGGGAUUACAGGCGUGAGCCAUCACUCCUGGCCCUAUUUUGGCUAUUUCAUAUAGUGGAGUCAUACAACAUGUGGCCUUUUGUGUCUGGCUUCUUUCUGUCAGCAUAAUGCUCUCGGGUUCACCCACGUUGUAGCAUGUAUCAGUAUUUCAUUUCUUCUUACGGCUGAAUAGUGUUCAGUUGUGUGGGUUUGCCAUAUUUUGUUUAUUCAUUUAUUGAUGAACAUUUGGGUUGUUUCCAUCUUCUGGCUAUUAUGAAUUGUGCUGCUAUGAACUAUAAUGAACAUUCUGCAUACAUUUUUGUUUGAACAUCUGCUUUCAGUUCUUUUUGGUAUAUACCUAGGAGUGGAAUUGCUGGGUCAAGCGGUAAUUCUGUGCUUAACUUGAUGAACCACCGAACUGUUUUCCAUGGUGGCUGCACCUGCAUCAUUUUGCAUUCCCACCAGUGGUGAUGAAGCUUCCAAUUUCUCCCAGAUCAUGAUUUAACACUCAUUUUUAUUAAAUGCAACAACCCUUCCUGCAUCUGGCCUGAGUGUCCUGGGCCAGCCAACUGCUUGCUCUCCAUCUUUCCUGUUUGGUCAGAGGCCCUGGGUGCAGCCAGUGGGUUACGCACUCUGAUCCCCUCAGUGACUUCUCCUGGGAGGUCACCAAGGAUACUCAUUCAGUCAGGUCUUCCAGAGCCACAGUGUUGAUCCUGCAGUGAGGACAUGAGUGUGCAGUGACUGGACUCUCUCAGGCAGUCGUGGAAGCAGAGGAUUGCUCUGGCCAGCCUGGAGACAGUUCCCAUUGGUUCCUGGACUUGAUCUGAAUCAACUCCUUCUUCCUCACCAUCUCUUGCCUGGUGCUGCUGGCUGAGACGUUGCACCUGUGGGGGCUGUCCACUCCCAGCUCACGUCUUCUGGCAGCUCCUUACUCUAUUCUAAUGCGCCUAGUGGUACUGCCGAUUUUCUCUUUUCCCAGACACCUCUCUCCACACUCCUUCUCCCACAUUGGCCUGGCCCUCAUGGCUCUUUGAUCCUCAUGGAACAUUCUAUUGUCUCCUAGGUGAGAAGAAAAGGCAUCCCAGCUUAUAUUCAGACACAUGGCCUUGAACUCGUAAUAACUCACACAUGUAAGCCACAAUAACUUCAUUUGCAUGCAACCACCUUGAAUGAAUGGUCUCAGUAAAUGUGUCAUUUAUUCUCAAUAUUCUGGAGUGCUGGAAAAAAUGGGGAGUCAAAGGAUCCCUCAGUCUGCUGGUGUGACCUGGGGCACCCAUCCCUGUUCCCUCUCCUCUUACAUGGGAUAAAACCCCAGUGGAGCCGUGUCUCUGGAUCACUGUGAUGGAUUAGGUGAGUCUCUACCUGGGCACCCUCUUUCACGUGGCAGCAUUUUUAUCGCUGUGACAACCUGGAGUCACCUUGCCAUUUACCACAGUUGCCUUGGAUGACCAAGUAACCCUCUUGCCCUUCAUGGGGGGAUGUCCUUUGAAGAACACCAUUCAUUCUGGAAGUGCAGGCCUGGCCUGAACCACUUUGGGGACGGGUACCUGUCACAGGAAGAGGUUGAGGAGACUAUAAUGUCAGGAGAAUCAUCAUCUUUGACUGGGAGAUGGUGUGCAGAGUUUCUGGCGUCUGGGGGCAUUCCAUCUGUGAGGUUUUCAGUUCUUCAUGAGCUGUUACAGGAAACAAUGUUUUCGAAAACAAAGUUGUCCCUGGCCCAGGGGCGCCAGGUCAUUCCGUGCAAGCAGUCCCCAUCAGCUGAGGGAAGGCCCAAAAUAUGCAAGUGCAUGAGCCAGGCUGGCGUGGCACGUGAGGCUGCAUAAUUUUCGCCGCCCUUCCCUAGGUGUUCUGCUGAGAGCUGGGCUGUCUGCUUAGAAAUCAGCCUCCAGGCCUGACUUUUGGCCUCUGCCCCGCCUGUGGAGUCGGUGCGGGCUCCAGAUUCCAGAGGCGAAGGAUACAUCCUAGUGCCAGCUCAGAUCUGAAACAGGCGUGCCCUUCGUUUUCAG
rnacentral:lncRNA from 1 species